AGAAGCUGAGGGGCAGCGGAGCCAGAACUGGAGCUCGAUCUGCCACCGUGGCAUCCUCAGUGAUGGUAACUGCGGCCAUCCAUCGGCCAUGGAGUCGCUGACUGCCUGACUCCCUAGGCGCAGUGGCUGCAGCAGGCUUGCACUUGCAGGGACCGAGAAAGACCCAAGAAAAUGGCAACUUACUGAAUCGUUUCGUUGCUGGCAGAGAAGAUGAAGCCGGACCUCCUUAGCUGGCCACUGCUGCCUCCAACUUAUGGGAGGGUGUUGGAGGCCGUGUAGUGACGCACUAAGGUGUUGCCCAUGGCCAAGUCGACGCGGAUGGCGGUGUGGGAUAUCUCCCCAUGGCGCCCUCCAUGAGUGUGAGAUUGCCGGCGGCACUGUGCGAAGAGCCCUGCACGGAGCCCAAGUCCUCGCCGAAGUGGCUGAGGCGCACGUACAGCAGGAGGAGGCAGGGAUCAUAGCGGCGCACAGCGGCCGCUCCAUCGGCGACGAUGCACACACCCUUCCUCCGCUUAAAUCCACCAGAAAAAACCUGGAAGAGGAGGGCGCCGAGGCCUCCACCACGCCGCCAUCUUCCUAGGGAAGGAGAGGAUAGCCCCGAGCCCUUCCUCCACGGCGGCUGUAGAGGAAGACGCCGAGGGGCUCGUUGUGCCGCCAUCUGCCUCGGGAAGAAGAGGAGAACCCCGAGCUCAUCCUCCACAGCGGCUCAAGAGGAGAGUGCCGAGGUCCCCACCGCGCCGACAUCUGCCUUGGGAAGGAGAGGAGAGCCUCGAGCUCUUCCUCCACGAUGGUUGAAGAGGAGGGCACCAGGUCCCCACUGCGCCGCCAUCUGCCCCGGGAGCUCUUCCUCGACGCCGUCGGCCGCCUCGGUAGGUGGCAUGGUGGCCAGAGAGGGAGAAGAGGACGACGACAAUAGGGAAAGAUGUGAGGAAGAAAAUUGGGGCAAAACGACCCCUGGAAUUGUUCGAUGGUGGGGAUCGUGGGGCGCCGCUUUGACCGAAUCAACCAGAAGGCAAUGGAUGUAACCAGGAGCGAUCCGUGAAAAGAGGAAGGAGAGAGGCAAUAACCGGUAGCCGGUUUCCUAUCCAUCCAAGGAAAAAAAAAGAUGCAAAAAGAUUACCUGAGUGGAUCACGGAAGGGGCAAAAUAAAUAGGUACGUGUCAACCAACAAUGGAAGGAAUAAAUAGCAUAUCUACAGUGCCUCAGUUGUGCAGAUUGCGUGAAAUCAGCUGUCCUUUAUAUAGUGUAUAAUUUCGAGUAUGGGGUCACUCACUAUAAAUACAUGUAAUAUAUCAAAGGAAAGUGAUUUGGACCCGGUGUCCUCUGACACCUGGUGGCUGAA